UUACGGUCAAAUCACGCUGAAACACCGGUUCUUGUACGAUCACCAAAGUUAAGCAGUGUAGAGCCAGGUCAGUACUUAGAUGGGGGACCGCUUGGGAACACCUGGUACUGUAAG
rnacentral:rRNA from 1 species